rnacentral:rRNA from 1 species
CAGCCGCGGUAAUACGUAGGGGGCAAGCGUUGUCCGGAAUCACUGGGCGUAAAGCGCGUGUAGGCGGCCAGGUAAGUCAGAGGUGAAAACCGGCGGCUCAACCGCAGGCUUGCCUUUGAAACUACUUGGCUUGAGGUCAGAAGAGGAGAGUGGAAUUCCCAGUGUAGCGGUGAAAUGCGUAGAUAUUGGGAGGAACACCAGUGGCGAAGGCGGCUCUCUGGUCUGCACCUGACGCUGAGGCGCGAAAGCGUGGGUAGCAAACAGGAUUAGAUACCCUGGUAGUCCACGCCGUAAACGAUGGGUGCUAGGUGUUGGGGUAUGAACCCCUCAGUGCCGUCUGSCGCGAUAAGCACCCGCCUGGGAAGUACGGUCGCA